GGCCAGUUAGCUCAGUUGGUUAGAGCAUGAUGCUUAUAACACCAGGGUUGCUGGUUCGAUUCCUGCAUGGGCCA